GGGCACCUCUCCUGGCCUGGCCCCGACCCCCCUCCGAGGACUCCCUAGCGUUCACUGGCGACAAAGUGGAUAUGCGCGCCCGGGGUCCUGCUCCCAACGUCCGGAACCGCGGCCCCUGUCCUGUACACCUCCCGUCCUCGACUCCCCGGGCCCAGGAGGGUCGCCGUCUCCAGCGUGGACGUGCGGGUACCCCCCAGGGACAAGGCCUGCCUUCUGGGCUUCCCGCUGGGGUCGCCUAGUUCCCACCCACCCGUGGGUGGCUCCACCCUCCCACGGGAGACUCAGGUGCUCGGCCCCCCAGGGACUCAGCUGGUGUUUCCCUACUUCUUUCCACGGCCAUCCCUGUGGACUCUCCACCAUGCUCUGAUCCCACUUUCUGAGCCCCCCAAGGGCCCACCCAGCCCCCGCCCCUCUGGCCUCUGCCCUUGGUCUGCACCGUCAGGACCUCAUCUCUAGGUGGUCCCAUCAGCACAUGAAGCGGAAACUGCCUGAGAGGGCUGAAGUGGACAAGAGCAGCCCCCACCUCGCCUAAGCUGAGCUGUGCCCCCUCUAGGGAUUUGGGGCACCCUGGCCUAGGGUUAGAGGGAGAAAGGGAGAGGCCGUGAGGCUGCUGAGUGCAACUGACUCAGGAAGAGCCAGAGGCGAGAUGCAGGGCCAGGCACCACUCAGCCUGCCCAAGUGGGCUGUGGCUGCCUCUGCGGGCCGGGGACCCACGGGGCAGAGUCCUACCACAGGGGCUCUUCCAAUACCCAGGUAAGCGUGACCACCUGGGGCCCAGUGAGCAUAGGUGCACUGAGAUGGGGUUCGUGGGUACAGAACAGUGUGGACAUGGAGGUCAGUAGUGCCAGGAUGGUGCACGGCCUGGGAAGGGGGGGCCAGGGCAGGAGCAGGACAGCCACCUACCACUGGCGGCAUCGGCGGGGUGGCGCGGGGAGGCGACAGGAGGGGCGGCGUGACUGAGGAGUGGGUGGUGGGGACCAGGCCAAGUGGGACUUGGGGGCUAUGAGGAGCCCAGGGAGGAGGCCAUGGCCCCCCGGAACGGAGCUCCCAGAGCCUGCAGCCUCUCACCCGCAGCCAGCUUUCUUCUUGCAGUGUCUUCAUUCCCAGAUGAGGAACGGGCAGGCCCUGCGGUUUGUGAGUGGCUGUUUCCUCCAGCGAAGCCCCCAAAGAUGCUUUUCCCCUGCCUGAGGGUCCCUGCUUGUACAUCCUUUGAAUCACUGAAGAGGGCCCAUAGGUUGGACCCCUGAAACCCACCUGGUCACGUCUUCAGGUUCUCGCCCAAGGCAGGGCCCUCCCCUCCUCCCCCAAGCGGCACGUGAGCCCUGUUCAGGGACAGCAGAGCCACCAGCCCAGGACCGGACCUGCUGCCUCUGCGGACCUCGGCAGCCCUGGUCACUCCCGGCUCUGGCAGGACAGGUGCAAACUCAGUGGUAAAGGUCCGUCCUGAUUAAUGAGACAAACCCACGCCCGUUCUCCUCCUGAUUACCUACAAUGGUCAAUUUUAUUACAAAGAACUGUAUCAAAAUAUACAAGUCUGUUUAAGAACAACCAAGAAAUGCAGCUGUUUAAGGGACAAAUGAGAA
rnacentral:lncRNA from 1 species